rnacentral:rRNA from 1 species
ACUGCUCAGUAACACGUGGAUAACCUGCCCUAAGGAAGGGGAUAACCUCGGGAAACUGAGGAUAAUACCCUAUAGGUUACAGACGCUGGAAUGCCCUGUAACCGAAAGUUCCGGCGCCUUAGGAUGGAUCUGCGGCCGAUUAGGUUGUUGUUGGGGUAACGGCCCAACAAGCCGAUAAUCGGUACGGGUUGUGGGAGCAAGAGCCCGGAGUUGGAUUCUGAGACAUGAAUCCAGGCCCUACGGGGCGCAGCAGGCGCGAAAACUUUACAAUGCGGGAAACCGUGAUAAGGGAACCCCGAGUGCCUGUAUAUGCAGGCUGUCCAGGUGUCUAAAAAACACCUGAAGAAAGGGCCGGGCAAGACCGGUGCCAGCCGCCGCGGUAAUACCGGCGGCUCGAGUGGUGGCCACUAUUAUUGGGCUUAAAGCGUCCGUAGCUUGGUUGUUAAGUCUCUUGGGAAAUCUACCGGCUCAACCGGUAGGCGUUCAGGAGAUACUGGCAAUCUAGGGACCGGGAGAGGUGAAAGGUACUCCAGGGGUAGGAGUGAAAUCCUGUAAUCCUUGGGGGACCACCUGUGGCGAAGGCGUCUCACUAGAACGGCUCCGACAGUGAGGGACGAAAGCUGGGGGAGCAAACCGGAUUAGAUACCCGGGUAGUCCCAGCUGUAAACGAUGCGCGUUAGGUGUAUCGGUGACCACGAGUCACCGAGGUGCCGAAGGGAAACCGUGAAACGUGCCGCCUGGGAAGUACGGUCGCAAGGCUGAAACUUAAAGGAAUUGGCGGGGGAGCAC